rnacentral:rRNA from 1 species
GACGUAAGUGGCAAGCGUUAUCCGGAAUUACUGGGCGUAAAGCGCGCGUAGGCGGCGAUACAAGUCAGGGGUGAAAAGUCAGGGCUUAACCUUGGCCUUGCCUUUGAAACUGUAUUGCUAGAGUACUGGAUAGGAGGGCGGAACUACAAGUGUAGCGGUGGAAUGCGUAGAUAUUUGUAGGAAUGCCGAUGACGAAGGUAGCUCUCUGGACAGAUACUGACGCUGAGGUGCGAAAGCUAGGGGAGCAAACAGGAUUAGAUACCCUGGUAGUCCUAGCUGUAAACGAUGAUUACUGGGUGUGGGCCAUAGCAUGGUCUGUGCCGAAGCUAACGCGAUAAGUAAUCCGCCUGGGGAGUACGGUCGCAAGAUUGAA